GAUGAACGCUGGCGGCGUGCCUAAUACAUGCAAGUCGAGCGAACAGAUAAGGAGCUUGCUCCUUUGACGUUAGCGGCGGAUGGGUGAGUAACACGUGGGUAACCUACCUAUAAGACUGGAAGAAAUCCGGGAAACCGGGGCUAAUGCCGGAUAAAAUUUAGAACCGCAUGGUUCUAAAGUGAAAGAUGGUUUUGCUAACAAUUAUAGAUGGAAACGCGCCGUAUUAGUCAGUUGGUACGGUAACGGCUUACCAAGGCAACGAUACGUAGCCGACCUGAGAGGGUGAUCGGCCACACUGGAACAGAGACACGGUCCACACUCCUACGGGAGGCAGCAGUAGGGAAUCUUCCGCGAUGGACGAAAGCCUGACGGAGCAACGCCGCGUGAGUGAUGAAGGUCUUCGGAUCGUAAAACUCUGUUAUUAGGGAAGAACAAAUGUGUAAGUAACUGUGCACGUCUUGACGGUACCUAAUCAGAAAGCCACGGCUAACUACGUG
rnacentral:rRNA from 1 species